AGGCUUUUUAUCCAUUUUCUGCAUUUGUGACCUACAUUGCAUUUAGACGACAACAUUUGGAUUUAAUACAAAAAGAACUGGGAAGACUGUUUCGUUCAGAGACAUUUAACCCAGCAGGAAGGCCCCAAGCAGUCGAAGAGGUGUAUGCAAUGGAUCGACUCAAAGACAACACAAAGCAGCCGCUAACACCUGCUGAAUAUCGCAGGCUCAAACCGUAA